rnacentral:tRNA from 1 species
UUAGUUGAAGCCAAACAGAGAGGCACCUUAUUGUUAAUGAAGUAAAUGAUUUAAUUAAUCCAAUUAAA